rnacentral:rRNA from 1 species
AACGCGAAGAACCUUACCUGGGCUCGAAGCGCAGUGGACCGGGGUAGAAAUAUCCCUUCCCCUUAAAAGGCUGCUGCGGAGGUGCUGCAUGGCUGUCGUCAGCUCGUGUCGUGAGAUGUUGGGUUAAGUCCCGCAACGAGCGCAACCCUUAUCCCUAGUUGCCAUCGGGUCAAGCCGGGCACUCUAGUGAAACCGCUUCGGAUAACGGAGAGGAAGGUGGGGAUGACGUCAAGUCCUCAUGGCCUUUAUGUCCAGGGCUACACACGUGCUACAAUGGCCGGUACAAACCGUCCCAAACCCGCGAGGGGGAGGCAAUCGGAAAAAGCCGGCCUCAGUUCGGAUUGGAGUCUGCAACUCGACUCCAUGAAGUCGGAGUUGCUAGUAACCGCUGGUCAGCACACAGCGGUGAAUACGUUCCCGGGCCUUGUACACACCGCGAGC